rnacentral:rRNA from 1 species
AUAUCAAUAAGCGGAGGAAAAGAAACUAACAAGGAUGCCCCUAGUAACGGCGAGUGAAGCGGGCGAAGCUCAAGUUGAAAAUCGGGGCCUCUUUGGGGUUUCGAAUUGUAGUCUAGAGACGCAGCGUCAGCAAUAGCCCCUGGUAUAAAUCUUUUGGAACAAGGUAUCAUAGAGGGUGAGAAUCCCGUCUUUGACUAGGAGUGCUAUGCGUACGACCUGUGUUCGCAGAGUCGGGUUGCUUGGGAUUGCAGCUCAAAAAGGGUGGUAAAUUUCAUCUAAAGCUAAAUAUCGACGAGAGACCGAUAGCAAACAAGUACCGUGAGGGAAAGAUGAAAAGAACUUUGAAAAGAGAGUUAAAAAGUACUUGAAAUUGUUAAGAGGGAAGCACUGGAAACCAGUCGUGCUCUGUGCCAUAUUUAUUGUCGGUUGGCCAAGGCGUGUGGUUGACGGAUCGCAAGACCGGCGGCUGUACGCGGAGGUUGACUGGCGAGUUCUGUGGUAUGGAGUGAGUCAGAAUGAGUUCCUUGCGCGGGAGAAAGCUAGCGCGGACGGUAGGGCCGAGGGGGCAACUCUGACGCCUGAAGCCGGUUAGUGCUACCGUGUGGCGG